AUUGAACGCUGGCGGCAUGCUUUACACAUGCAAGUCGAACGGCAGCGCGGGGGCAACCCUGGCGGCGAGUGGCGAACGGGUGAGUAAUGCAUCGGAACGUAUCCUGUAAUGGGGGAUAACUAAUCGAAAGAUUAGCUAAUACCGCAUACGCUCGGGAGAGGAAAGUGGGGGAUCGCAAGACCUCACGUUAUAGGAGCGGCCGAUGUCUGAUUAGCUAGUUGGUGAGGUAAAGGCUCACCAAGGCGACGAUCAGUAGCUGGUCUUAGAGGAUGAUCAGCCACACUGGGACUGAGACACGGCCCAGACUCCCACGGGAGGCAGCAGUGGGGAAUUUUGGACAAUGGGGGCAACCCUGAUCCAGCCAUGCCGCGUGCGGGAAGAAGGCCUUCGGGUUGUAAACCGCUUUAGUCUAGGAAAAAGGAAUGCAGGAUUAAUACCCUUGUGUUUUGAUGGUACUGGAAGAAUAAGCACCGGUUAACUACGUGCCAGCCGCCGCAGUAA
rnacentral:rRNA from 1 species